CAAAAGGAAGAUAAUGAUAAAACAUUCAAAAUUCUGAAAAUAUCUUUGAUACACUAAAAUUUUAAUACGCACCAAUUAUAAUUAAAGUAGGGUAUAAUUGUAAAAGAACAAUUAUGAAGAACUUUAAAAAAAUUAAAAAGAAAAGAAAAAAGUUUAACAGACCCCACUCCAGAGUAGUUGCUCUUCCUAUCAGUUUCUUCUGGCACGUUCUAUUCAAAAAAGAUGAAAGCAAAACUGAAACCAUCCAAAACCCACCAUGGCCCUCAAACUUGGAAACGCAUUUCCUCCCCUCCCAUGUUUCGCAGAGCAAGAAUCCUCAUCUACUCACGGCAUAAAAAGGGAGGAAGAUUGAAGGAAAAAGAGCUGAAGCAAUCAAUAUUGGAACCCCCAGUGUGCUCAUCAAUCUGUAUUUGUAAGAUGUUGCAGUGUAUGAGAGAGGCAAGAAAAUUAUGGGUAUGAUGCUGUUAAAACCGAUCGACGUUUACUCAGAUUCUAAAUCAGACGGUCCAUCUCGCAUCACCAACCCUCAGUCUCAGGUAAUAUGACGCCCUGCCUCUGCUUCUUUCAUAUUUGAACUGUUUCCUCUGUAAGGGUUUAGUUGGAUUAUUCACUUGCAUAUAUUCAGCUUAGCAUUCCAAGUGUUUGCUAAAAUGCCAAAGUUGAUUUUAGUUUGAACACUUUGUUGGUCGGUUUUAUUUUGUAUUAUCUAAUUUAGCUUUGUAAAUAAGAAUUGGGAAAUGAACAGAAAUUAGAAAAGCUUAGUUCUUUAUAAUAAAACUAAUUUCAAUGAACGCAACAAUUCCAUAAUGAGGGUGAAAAUGAAAUUAGAAGUGAGAACAGUGAAGAGAUUUGUACGUUGUAUCAAUUUGUAAGAUUUUUUAGUGUUGGUGAAAUUUUGUCUUUUUAGUUCUUUUUCUUUGUUAUAUUGACUUUUUGAAUAAUAGUUUCAUGUACGAGUAUGCGAUGCUUCAAGAUGCCAAGUACGGUCAAGUUUUCAUGUGUUUAGGCUUGCACAAAACUUAAGUAUUUCUUCCUAGGAUUCAUGUUAUAUGGAUAUUAGCCUCUCACCCUGUGCUUUGCAUGCUUGAGACCUUUUCAACAGAACCGAAGUUUGAGAAAACUGUUGGAAUCAGUGGAGUGGGGAAUAAAUUUUAAAACUCAACGAUGUGUCUAAGUUUGAUUUCACUAUUAUGUUUUUGGCCGCCUUUUUAUUAUUGUAUGGUUUCUGAGAAAAGGGAUCAAAUGAAAAAAAUAAAAAAUUUAGUUUUAGUUAUCUUAUAACCAUUUCUCUUUCUCUUUAGUUUUAAUCCAUAUAGGGCAGCAAUUCCUUUAAGUUUUUUUACGCUCUCAUCUUCUUCUUCUUCAAAUUUCAGGGUCCAGUCAUUAGUUCAAGAACUCAAAGUCCAGAAUUGCUUCAAUGACUCCGGUUCCAUGCUUUCUGUUUAUUAAUCUUCAAUAUGCAGAGCAUCAAUUCUUUCAAUGGUACGAAUCUCUCUCUCACACAAAGCUAUCCCUAAUUUAUGUUUGAUUGACUGAAACUUUGGCUAGGGUCUAGGUCUGUGUUUGUGUUUGUAAUUAUUUAUGUGUUUGACUUAUGAAAUUAAAAAGUCUUUGGAAUUUUAUCUCAACAGAUGGAAUCGCCUCUCACCUCGCACUCUCUGACGCAUAAUGGUUCCAGAAGACGCAGAGGAAACUAUAUUUAAGGAAUUAAAAGCAAAAUGAGGAUCAGAGUUGGAGGGAGUUCAAGAAUAACAUGAAAGCAAAACAAAAGGGAAGCAUCAUGGUGAGUGAUAAGCACUGAUCAUGACUUCUUCGAGCAGUGAACCAAAGUCGCUCUUCUUCAUGGACAAGUCCAAAGGUACCUUAUUCAUACCUUUGUUUUUUUGUUUUUUGUUUUGAGUGACAUAUUUGUCUUUUUUCGCUUUCAGUAAUUGAAUUGCUUCUGUAUAACAAAUCCCAAUUUCAGGUCAGCUGUUGGAAUCUGGCAUUUUUUUAAUGGGUUUUAUUUUUCGUUGGUAGAAUGCAUUUUAUUGUGGUUUUAGUGUUUAGGGUGAUAGAGUGGUGGAGAUGCAGAUGGAGGUGUCGGUAUUUUGGCCAUGUUAAAAGGAAAUUGCAAGUUUAUGGUUUGGUUUAAACAAUUGUGUGGCUGUGUGUUCGCUUUAGGUGAAGGUGUCGUGAUGCAAAAGAAACUAUGUUUCUAGCUUUAAAUUCUGUGUUUCUAUGUACUAAUUGGGCGAUUUCUCAAUGUUUCUAUUAGGUUAUUUCAUAUGGAUGCUAGAAGGGACAUAAUUUUCUGUGGUGGCAAUUACACUAUCCAAUUUGCUGCAUGAGGCUACCAAAGAAGAUAGUAGCAGGAGGGCAUAAAAGUGCUGCCGGAGGAGGUUUAUGUACAAGCAGUAGCUAAAAGGAUUUUAAUUGUCAUGAAUUUUUUGUUUAUUCUUUUCCUUUUUCAAUGGUUGCAAUACUAGCUUUUUUUUUUUUUUUUUUGUUGGUCAACAUUGCAAUACUAGCUUCAAUUACUAUAUUCUGGUGUAACGAGUUUUGUUUUAAAUAAAGACUUAUUCAAUUACAUCUGUUCCAAAUUCGGUUCAAUGGUUAACAAUGAUAAUUGUUAUCAAUAAAUACAAAGAGGAA